rnacentral:rRNA from 1 species
GUGAACGCUGGCGGCGUGCUUAACACAUGCAAGUCGAACGGUAACAGGGAGCUUGCUCCGCUGACGAGUGGCGAACGGGUGAGUAAUGCAUCGGAACGUACCCAGUCGUGGGGGAUAACGUAGCGAAAGUUACGCUAAUACCGCAUACGUCCUGAGGGAGAAAGCGGGGGACCGUAAGGCCUCGCGCGAUUGGAGCGGCCGAUGUCGGAUUAGCUAGUUGGUGGGGUAAAGGCCUACCAAGGCGACGAUCCGUAGCGGGUCUGAGAGGAUGAUCCGCCACACUGGGACUGAGACACGGCCCAGACUCCUACGGGAGGCAGCAGUGGGGAAUUUUGGACAAUGGGGGCAACCCUGAUCCAGCCAUGCCGCGUGAGUGAAGAAGGCCUUCGGGUUGUAAAGCUCUUUCAGACGGAAAGAAAACGCAUCGGUGAAUACCCGGUGUGGAUGACGGUACCGUAAGAAGAAGCACCGGCUAACUACGU